CCUUAUUUAAAUCUAUUUGCUCGAACAAUUCGGCCCAUCGUUUCUCCCGCUCAGGGUCAGCGGCACCGUUGUCUUGACAGAAAGCCCGGCUCCAACCAAGACAGGACCGUGUCCUGGUAUCGCCCAUGUGAAUGUUGCUUUGCCAGGUUGACUGGGGAGCGACACGACUCUUCAGAACUACGGGCGAACCGAAUCCCACGGUAAGUUGCGCAGACGCGUCUGUUGCUCUGGGAGACUGUGACUGCAAUAGGUACUGACAUUCGCUGAACUCAGACAGGGGGGGCAGAAAUGUCCCUCCCUCGGUGCACACGGACGUACGCAGUGAGCAAACUCUCGAAGGCAUCGCAGGCCUCAGCUCUCUCUAGGGGGUCCUAAACGCACUGCAUCCUUUUAAAAAUUUGUACUUCUGCCAUUUUCCGAGUAUUCAAAUUUUUCAAAAGAUUUAAGCACAAUGAAAGCUCCGGUGGCUCGGUUAGUCUGUCCUGAACACUAGCAUUGCUUGCCCGGUCAUGGCCGUGUGUCAGGCCUGACAAAUACACCUGUUUACAGCCACGCUCUACUCAUGAGAUAAUCCCUGCGCAAAAAAUUGAGCGAUCAAAUAUAGCGACUCACCCCUUAGUUACAGUGAUUCUCAUUGCAUAGGGGACAUGUGGAUGAUAUGCAACAAUGGUUUCUAAAAUGGGGGGGGGGGGUCCGAGCAUAAUUAUCUCAUUAUUGUGCAUGGCCGCCACCAGACAAUGCGCGACUGCACAGGCCUUUGGGAUUAGCAGAGCACCUGGUCUGGAAAGCCGCUGUGGCUGAGCUCGGUCAUCUUCGCUGAAGGAGGGAAAGCAUCGUCACGACUGAAGUUUGGGCCGAGCUCCAGUCAGUCAGCAGCUUUUUAAAAAAAGCACUUUUUAAAGAGCACAGGUUUCUUUCAGGCUGUGUGGGAAAGAGAAAAAGCUACUUCUGUCAUCUAUACACACUGUGUGCGUGUGUGUACUGUUUGCAUGCCUGAAACCUGAAGUUGAUUUUCAACUUUUACACUUGCCCCGGAAACAAAGCUGAUCAAUGAAAACUGCCCCAUUUCAAAAGAAGAGUUCCAGUCUUUUUUGGAACAUACGAGUCUGUGUGAUUUAUCAAAAGGCAUUCCUCUGAGAAAUUACACCUCUACAAGGGCAUUUGGCCCAAAUCAAGGAUGGAUCACACAACAGGCUAUGACUGCUCCCAUUCGUUUACUUUGUCAGAAAAUUGAAUAAUUUAACCCCAUUUGCUUUACAGCAUAUAUUUACAUGUUUAAAAAACUAAACUCAGUGGGACAGCAAUCGGGCUGCACCAGGCUGAGCUGUCAUUCAUAUUAAUGGUGAAGACUUCUGCUCAAAAGGCCAAUCCCACUGCACUACUCCCAGGCAUGAUACCUCCUGGGAUCCAAGGCAGAAUGACUUCAUAAGGUGACCGAAAACACCCAGCAUGAUGUUGCACAACAUUACAGAGCGCCACGUUCGAUAGAAUCAUACUUAGCGUUCUGGAAAUGCCCAGGGGAUGACUCACGACGCUCAGAGUCUAAACACUUCCCACAGAAAGACUGGAUGUUUAACGGACGAGGUUUUAGGUACCCUGCAAAUCCCAUCAUAUAAAUCAAACCGACUGCUCUGUGGAUAUGAAUUCAGAGCCCCACACCGCUGCCUGUUGUUACACUACAUUACAGGCAUUUAGCACACACUCUCAUGCAGAGCUGAACGGUGUUUGUAUUAGUAUUUUAUAGAAUUUAAUUCAGCCGGAUACACACUGAAGCAGUUCAGGUUAAAUACCUUGCUCGGGAGUACAACAGCAGUGCCCUUUAACCUUUAACCUUUAACUUACAGCCCAGUGUCCAAACCAUUAUGCAGCACUGCCUGCCUUGCUUUUGACACAGUGUAUACUGUGGCAGCAUUGUGCAAAGAGGACUCGGUGCCAGAAAUGAGCAGUAUAUCAUAGAAAGAAAAAAAUAAUAAGUAUCACAGCUAAAGAACCGGAUUCAGGAUGAUGACUAAAGCCCCAUUAAACUAAACCACUAGGCUGUCAGCCAACUGCUACAUUAUAAUUUUGCAUUUGUCCUUCAUUCCCCGGCUCUAGUUAAUGUUUCUCAAAAAAAUAAGAGGGAAUUCAACUUCUAACGGAUCCCGAACCAUAGUGCUACCGAAAGGUUACUGAACGGUCAAGGACUGCGGGGAAAGGAGCUCAGAUACUGUAAGACGGCGGCGCGUGUGGAGUCUGCGCAGUCCGUGUGUCUGUAUCGCUCUGCGGCCACGGCUCCGGUUGUGCGUUCCACGAUGUGCGCGAGGGAGAGAGACGGCUUCCUGCGCGGUGUUCCUGGCAUUCGUAGUAUUGUAUGUGGGUAGGAGCGCUGCACGUUACGGUGGCGCCGAGGCGUAACACAUAUGCAACAUAAAAAAACAGCGCCACUUCAGUGAGCCUUUCUCGCCAUCUGCUCUCCGUGUAGACUGCAACAACGCAGAGUGAAAUCAUUUUCAUUUAAAACUCGAACAGAGUUUAUAUGAGUCGAGAGAGAUUAACACUUAACAGAGUAAGAACGUUCUCGACCAGAGUUCAUUUAACACAAACAUUUUACUGUGCGCACGGGCCGAUUUAAGUUAUUAAUACAUUAACAAUUGGGUUCAGCUCUCACCAUGUUCAUAAAACAUUUACCUGCACACUGGCAAAUGAAAUUUAUGAAAAUUUACGAGGGGUGUUAUUUCAUCUCCAUAAAACUAUUCUAUUAAGCAUUUCAUCAAUGUAAGAAAAAAAAUUAAAUAAAAAAUCAGUAGAAAAUGCCCAAUUCAAUAAUGGUAGUCAGUACUGAUUCCUAAUUGAUAACCUUAUUUAUUACUGAGCAGUCAGCCAGUUAUUUUAGCCUGCAUAUUUUGACAUAUUGCCUUAGUGUUAUUCACUGUAUCAAAUGGCAGACUGUCAUGGUCUGUUCCAGACAUGAGAAGAACAUUCAGUAUUUACAUUUCUACUGAGGCAUUCACAGCAUUGUUGCUUGUAAAUAGAACACUUCACCCAGUAAACUUUAAAAGGGGCAGUCCAGUCUCCUGCACCACAAAGGCGUGGAGGAUGAAGGUAUUACUGAUGGAAAGGGAGUCGACAGAAGGACAGAGAUGAGGAAUACUGCGUGUGUGUGUGUGUGUGAGUAUGUGUGUGUGUGUGUUGAUUGGAGGUUGUUAUCUCAGGGAGGUCUACUGGAAUGGUAGGCAUAUAUAUUCGGUGCAGCUGCUGUCUCUGGCCAGCAGGGGGCCUACAGGGCAGUGAGACGCCCAGUCAGUGCAGCCUGCAGCUCAGAGGGCAGGAAGACACCCAGCUCAGUAAUGAUUCCCCCUGUGAUCAGCUGGUGGGGGGUGACAUCGAAGGCUGGGUUCCACACCUCGAUACCUGCAGAGAGAGAGACAUAGAGAGACAGAGGGCGAGUAAGCCAGAGGGGGAGAGAGAGAGAGAUAGAGAGAUAGAAAGUGAGGGAGAGAGAGGGGCGAUGAAGAGCAAGAGAGAGAGAUUAGAUGGAAAUACAACAAAUGUAAUAAUGGAAAACACACUGUAUAUGUAUAUAAAUCUGGUCACAGAAUUCACAGUUUUAGCUUCUCAUUGGCCUGUCCUGCUCUCUCCUCUUUUCAUCUUUAUGGGUAAGUUAUCUCUCCCCAACCUGCUUUCCCCGGUUCUCUCUCUAAAACUUUUGUUGGGUGUGCCUCCUCCCAAACUCAGCCUUUACCUGGAGCAGCAAAGGGCAGGCCGCCAAUACUAGUCAUCUCCACCGGGGGGCGCUCUUCGAUCACAACAUGCCUCCCGCUCUCCAGGCUGAGGUCACAUGAUGUGCUGGGGGCCACCACGUAGAACGGUAUCCUGUGGUGCCUCGCAGCGAUGGCCAGCUGGUAAGUGCCAACUUGGUGGACGGUGUCUCCAUUGGCGACGACCCUGUCGGCCCCGACUACGACCGCUACGGACAGAGGGGUUGACACAAUCGCUACCACAUAGCACCUCAGACGUACAGGAUACCAUGAAAACUCCAUGGGUAAUACAGAGUCAGACACACACCCCAACACUGCCACAGGUUAACACUCCACUCAGAGUGAAUACAGAGCAUAGUAUCUCAUGGGUCUGUGGAAUCUGCUGACAUAACCAAGGCCAGGUAAAGGGGUGGCAGUAUAGUGUAAUGUUUUGGCAACUGUGCUUCCAAUUCUAAGGCUGUAGGUUUGAUUUGAUUUGCCCAUGUAGGGCACCACUGUUGUAUGCUAUACUCAGUGGCAGGGCUGUGGAGAGACCUUUUGAGGGGCUGGUGCUCAAAGUGGCAAAAGGGCACACCAACCUAGAAAAACUAUUUUACUACACCCAGUUAUUGUAAAGAAUACAUGUAAUGUAAGGUAAUGAAAUGUAAUCUAAUGUAAUGUAAGGUAAUGUAACGUAAGGUAAUCUAAUAUAAUUUAAUGUCAGGGAGGCGCACCUGUGAUGGCCCUCGCUCUCAUGGCGACGGCCGCGGCGCUGUCGGUGAUGAGGGUGGCGGGCAGGCCCUCUGCGGCGGCCUCGUGAGCAGUGAGCCGGGCGCCCUCGCCCCCGGGCCGCGUCUCGGUGCAGUAGACCCUCUUCAGCCGGCCCAGCGCGUGCAGCGAGCGCACCACGCCUGCGGGGCGACGGAGACGUAGCGACGUCACUCACACAGCCACACGCGGAGAGCGAGCGCAGGCAAGCGACGCCACGGCAACGCGAGGUCACCCCUCGUCGCCAAAAUCGCAGAUAAAUGCCGUCGUACCGGCAGCCAUGCGGUGCCGUAUCCCGCUGUUGCCAGGGACCCCGUGUUGCCGUGUGUGAGGAUGGUGACGGAGUCUUGGGGAACCCCAGACAGGAUGUGCUGCGCCCCGUAAUUCCCCAUCUUCUGGUUGUCGUCGAUGUCCCGCUGCAGCAUGGCCUCGAUCCAGCCAAUCACGCUGUGUGGCACACAAGCAAGCAGUGGCAGUUCUCCUGCGGCCCGGGCCAUGUUCACAGCCGUGGGUCGGGCGGACGUCAGGACGGCUAGCGACUUUCGUAAGAAGGGCACCAGGCUGUCCCCCCUGAUCCCGGCCCGCAGCUCCACGGCCACACUCAGACACCCCAC